UGCUUACACAUGCAAGUCGAACGAUGAAACCGCUUCGGUGGUGGAUUAGUGGCGAACGGGUGAGUAACACGUGGGCAAUCUGCCCUUCACUCUGGGACAAGCCCUGGAAACGGGGUCUAAUACCGGAUAACACUCUGUCCCGCAUGGGACGGGGUUGAAAGCUCCGGCGGUGAAGGAUGAGCCCGCGGCCUAUCAGCUUGUUGGUGGGGUAAUGGCCUACCAAGGCGACGACGGGUAGCCGGCCUGAGAGGGCGACCGGCCACACUGGGACUGAGACACGGCCCAGACUCCUACGGGAGGCAGCAGUGGGGAAUAUUGCACAAUGGGCGAAAGCCUGAUGCAGCGACGCCGCGUGAGGGAUGACGGCCUUCGGGUUGUAAACCUCUUUCAGCAGGGAAGAAGCGAAAGUGACGGUACCUGCAGAAGAAGCGCCGGCUAACUACGUGCCAGCAGCCGCGGUAAUAC
rnacentral:rRNA from 1 species